AUACAGAGGGUGCGAGCGUUAAUCGGAAUUACUGGGCGUAAAGCGCGCGUAGGCGGUCUAUUAAGUCAGAUGUGAAAUCCCAGGGCUCAACCUUGGAACUGCAUUUGAUACUGGUAGACUAGAGUUUUGGAGAGGGAAGUAGAAUUUCAGGUGUAGCCGUGAAAUGCAUAGAGAUCUGAAGGAAUACCAGUGGCGAAGGCGACUUCCUGGCCAAAAACUGACGCUGAGGUGCGAAAGCGUGGGUAGCAAACGGGAUUAGAAACCCUAGUAGUCC
rnacentral:rRNA from 1 species